GACGGAGGAGGCUAGCGUUGUUCGGAAUUACUGGGCGUAAAGCGCGCGCGGGCGGUUAUGCAAGUCAGGGGUGAAAGCCCGAGGCUCAACCUCGGAACGGCCUUUGCGACUGCAUGACUAGAGACCGGGAGAGGAGAGUGGAAUUCCCAGUGUAGAGGUGAAAUUCGUAGAUAUUGGGAAGAACACCAGUGGCGAAGGCGGCUCUCUGGCCCGGACCUGACGCUGAGGCGCGAAGGCCAGGGGAGCAAACGGG
rnacentral:rRNA from 1 species